UACGGGGGGGGCAAGCGUUGUUCGGAAUUACUGGGCGUAAAGGGCUCGUAGGCGGCCAACUAAGUCAGACGUGAAAUCCCCAGGCUCAACCUGGGAACUGCGUCUGAUACUGGAUGGCUUGAAUCCGGGAGAGGGAUGCAGAAUUCCAGGUGUAGCGGUGAAAUGCGUAGAUAUCAGGAGGAACACCGAUGGCGAAGGCAGGUCUCUGGGCUGACACUGACGCUCAUGCACGAAAGCGUGGGGAGCAAACAGG
rnacentral:rRNA from 1 species